AAAGCAGUGCAGACUUCAAAGAUAUCUAAGGAACAAACACUAAUAAAACAACACAAGCAAGUGUGGUGGCAGGAACACCAAAGGCUAAAUGAAGUCAGAUGAAAAAUGGAAUCAGAAAUAAAAUCCCUUCUUAAUGAAGAGAACAUUGGAAGUGAAUGUCUUCCUCACCUUAUGAAUUUUGAACAAGAGUUAUCAGAACAAUGGGACACUUAUCUUAAAAGUGUGAAAAAUCCUAUCCAGCAAUUGAGAGCAGAUCUAAAAUACAGACAGCAUCACAUUUCACAGCAUUCACACUCACAUGUUGUUUAACUCAGUGA